UACUUUACAGCGCUACGCAAUAUGUUGGCACUUUAUAAAUACAUAAUUAUAAUAAUAGUUUUCUGUCUUUUUUUGUGGCUAAUUCCAUGAAGGAAUUUGUAUAAAAAGAGUAAAAAAAAGUCCCCUUGUUUUUUUAUAAAGCAAAUCCAAAUAAAUGGCCAACUGCUCAUGAUUAAUGAGGCUAUAUACAUUAAACAUGGGAAGCUAUGUAAUACAUGUCCCUGUAUAACUGUCAUUAACAGUAGCGUGCACACGGCCAAAUCACAGUUGCUGAAUGACAGUUGACCAUAGAGCUGUCUCAGUGAAUGGUUCACUUUCACAGCGUCUCCCCAGUGAGAAGCGUUUUUUCUAUAUUUUAGUCAUUUUCAGGAUAUAUCAACCAACUAUGGAUAGAUACAAAAAUUCUCCAGAAUCCCGUGGGCUCACGAGGAAGAGAACCAUCAAGGAGAAGACAGAAGGGGCACCUAAAAAGACCAAGCUUAUGGGUAACAACAUGGAGGAGAAAAGCUUGCGUCAAGUAGAGCAAGAGGUGCUGAAGAGAGAGAGAGAGCGAGAGCCAGCAGAAGCAGGAAGAAGUGGAGCGAGUAGGCCUUGUGUUGAAGCUCAGAUGCCUAAAAAUCCUAAAAACAUCACCAACUACAAGUUUCACAAGGAGCUGGGAAAAGGAAGCUUCGGAAAGGUUAUGCUGGCGUCGCUUAACAACUGCAGAGAUCAAGUGGCAAUCAAAGUGAUUCGGAAGACUACGAGUGUAGAGGACAUCCUGACGGAGGCGCGCACUCUCAGAAUCACUGGAGCUUGUCCCUUUCUCUGCCAUGGAUAUGGAGCUUUCCAAACGCAGAUGCAUGCGUUUCUUAUAAUGGAGUUCAUGAGUGGAGGGACCCUGGAACAGCUUAUAAAUAAGAGAGGUUGCCUGAACAGGGACAUCAUACAAUUCUAUUCUGCAGAGAUGAUCAUCGGUCUACAGUAUCUGCAUUCAUGUGGUAUUAUGCACCGAGAUCUUAAACCACCAAACAUCUUACUGAGCGCCGAGGGGCAUAUCAAGAUCAGUGAUUUCGGCCUAGCUGUAGAAGGGAUUUUCGGCAACAAGAAGAUGUACGAUCUAGUAGGGUCCUACCACUACAUGGCUCCAGAGAUUCAUCUGAUGAGUGGAUAUGACGCAGGAGUGGAUUGGUGGGCAUUUGCCAUUAUUCUGUGCCAAAUGGCCGCUAGAAGAUCUCCAUUCCACGAAGGCUUGACACUGCUCAACAUCAUCGAAUCAGUCACCUUGAAGCAGCCUUCCAUUCCAGAGGAUAUCAGCCCUGACCUGAAAAGUCUGAUGCAGGAGCUCUUUGAGAAGAAUCCAGACAAGCGCCUGGGCACAUCGGGGGAUAUAAGGAAACACCCGUUUUAUAGAUCGGUUGACUGGGCAGCAUUGGAGAACAGGAAGAUUCCACCUCCUUUCAAGCCACAAUCUGUAAGUCCAUCACUGCAGCAGCUCUAUCUGGAGGAAACAUCAUUUUCUGCACACCAAGUAUCAGGUUUAUUCUGGUGGGAUACGACCUGUGCAUAGUAGGCAUAUUACUUUUAAUGGAGAAUUCAACCUUUUUUAAAAAAAACAAAAAAAACUACCAAUUGAGUCUCAAUGUAUUCUUUCACCUUUUGCCCACUUCACCUAUUGUAUUUCCCCAGGUCCCUUUAUUACAAGUUCAGUAAGUGUAUUGUGCUCAUGAUGUGGCUUCCUUCCAUUAUAGAGACAUUUUCAUUUGCCUUCUCCUGAAGUAACCAAUCAUUGCUAUUUUCUGUAAUUCAGCAGGUCCUUUCUCCUUCAGUGCUGUGGCUGGAGGUAUAUUCUUGAAACGCCAAACCCCCACCCCCUUAGCCAGACUAUGACAAAUGUGGUUGGUGCUUGGCUGGUUCUGUUCUGGGCAAGGCAGGAUACCGACUGUGGAUGUCAGUGCAGUCUGUGAAGAGCCCCUGUCAUUCAUAGAAGAGCCAGGCUGCAUCAACCCAUCAGGUGGUAUAAAAAUGAUUCAGGGUCUGUCAUUCCUGAGUCCCAGUUGGGAAAGAUCUGCAGGUCCCUUUUGCCUCCACCCUCUGCGCUCUCCACCUAGGGCCCCCGCCAUCGGCCCUCCUAUACUCAGACCCCUGCCCUCAGCCUUCCCCACUUCUGCCCCCCCACCUCUGGCCCCCAUCUUUCCUCCCCCAUCAUUCCCCCCCA